GGUGGCGACCGGCGCGACGGGUGAGUAACGCGUAUGCAACCUACCUAGUCAGAGGGGAAUAACCCGGCGAAAGUCGGACUAAUACCGCAUAAAACAGGGGCACCGCAUGGUGAUAUUUGUUAAAGAAAUUCGCUGAUAGAUGGGCAUGCGUUCCAUUAGGUAGUUGGUGAGGUAACGGCUCACCAAGCCGACGAUGGAUAGGGAACUGAGAGGUUGGUCCCCCACACUGGUACUGAGACACGGACCAGACUCCUACGGGAGGCAGCAGUGAGGAAUAUUGGUCAAUGGGCGGGAGCCUGAACCAGCCAAGUCGCGUGAAGGAAGAAGGAUCUAUGGUUCGUAAACUUCUUUUGCAGGGGAAUAAAGUGCAGGACGUGUCCUGUUUUUGUAUGUACCCUGAGAAUAAGGAUCGGCUAACUCCGUGCCAGCCGCCGC
rnacentral:rRNA from 1 species